rnacentral:lncRNA from 1 species
GUCGGUUAGUCUCGGCACCCAAAAUAGUCAUACCAGACUGGGACUUGCCAUUUGAAUUGAUAUGUGACGCAAGUGACUUCGCGAUCGGAGCUAUCAUGGGUCAACGAAGGAACAAAGUUUUUCAUCCCAUCCACUAUGCGAGACGGACUCUGACAGGAGCUCAAUGGAAUUACAAGUAACAGAAAAAUAGUUACUUACUAUUGUUUUUGCUUUUGA